rnacentral:rRNA from 1 species
UACGAAGGGGGCUAGCGUUGUUCGGAAUUACUGGGCGUAAAGCGCACGUAGGCGGACAUUUAAGUCAGGGGUGAAAUCCCAGAGCUCAACUCUGGAACUGCCUUUGAUACUGGGUGUCUUGAGUAUGGAAGAGGUGAGUGGAAUUCCGAGUGUAGAGGUGAAAUUCGUAGAUAUUCGGAGGAACACCAGUGGCGAAGGCGGCUCACUGGUCCAUUACUGACGCUGAGGUGCGAAAGCGUGGGGAGCAAACGGG